CAACGCCCAACGAAACCCCAGGAUAAGUCCUAGUAAACCGUGGUUCUGACCCUAUUUCACGUAGAGUGUGUGGAGUGCAGUUGGUGAGUCCUUGUCUUUGCUGUGAGUGUGUACACUUGAAAUCUUGCAGUGUUAUGCUGUGGUUGUGUUGUCAGUAGCCACCCUAGACUGGAUGAGUCGUGGGGGAGACCAGUGACCGUUGAGGCUGGUGAAGCGCCAUUUUCAUCUAUAUGCCAUUUUGCGACCCCUGCAUGGAGACCCAAAUGUAACGUCCUGUCUAGACCCUUUCAGAAUACCCUGGCUCUGUGGAAGCGGUGGUGAAGAAUACACGUAAGCAAGACUGGUGUGAGUAAAAGCCAAAAUUAUACCUAUAUGCAAGGAGGAAGUUUUACUGUUGCAAAUUAGCUGUGUGGAUUUACUUUACCUGUUGUGGAGCCUCUUCAAAGGUUCACCCCGGUCCAGAUCCCUUAAACUGCAAAUAGAAGAGAGGAGAGGGAAGCGUUCGGCCCGGUGCGACAGUGUUUAACUUUCCCCGACGCACAGGAAAUCCCUGUGGAGGCCUGCGCUACGACGAUUUACUACUCCAGUGCCAUUGGAGUUCUGUGUCGCGGGUUGGCGCUCACCUCGGAGUGUGCAGAAGGGGAGGCGCCGCCCGAGCACCCUGUACGAAGAGAUCGGAGGAACAAGUCAUUUAUCAGCCAGUCGUAUGGACCCAAGUAACAGGUAGCCACUCUCACCGGAUCGAUUAUUCAUUGUGUGUUUCACUCUGCCUUCAGGAGAAAAGAAGGGCGCCACGAGUCAACAAAA